rnacentral:rRNA from 1 species
GAUCAGUGGCUCAGAGUGAACGCUGGCGGCGUGCUUAACACAUGCAAGUCGAGCGGAUCAAAGUAGCUUGCUAUUUUGGUUAGUGGCGCACGGGUGAGUAAUGUAUAGCUAACCUGCCCUUUAGUGGGGGACAACAGUUGGAAACGACUGCUAAUACCCCAUACUCCUUCUUGUCAUAAGGCGAGUCGGGAAAGAUUUAUUGCUAAAGGAUGGGGCUUUAUGGUAUCAGCUAGUUGGUGAGGUAACGGCUCACCAAGGCUAUGACGCCUACCUGGUCUGAGAGGAUGAUCAGGCACACUGGAACUGAGACACGGUCCAGACUCCUACGGGAGGCAGCAGUGGGGAAUAUUGCACAAUGGAGGAAACUCUGAUGCAGCAACGCCGCGUGGAGGAUGACGCAUUUCGGUGUGUAAACUCCUUUUAUAAGGGAAGAUAAUGACGGUACCUUAUGAAUAAGCACCGGCUAACUCCGUG